rnacentral:rRNA from 1 species
GACGAACGCUGGCGGCGUGCUUAACACAUGCAAGUCGAACGGUAAGGCCCUUCGGGGUACACGAGUGGCGAACGGGUGAGUAACACGUGGGUGAUCUGCCCUGCACUUCGGGAUAAGCCUGGGAAACUGGGUCUAAUACCGGAUAGGACCCUGGGAUGCAUGUCCUGGGGUGGAAAGCUUUUGCGGUGUGGGAUGGGCCCGUGGCCUAUCAGCUUGUUGGUGGGGUGAUGGCCUACCAAGGCGACGACGGGUAGCCGGCCUGAGAGGGUGACCGGCGACACUGGGACUGAGAUACGGCCCAGACUCCUACGGGAGGCAGCAGUGGGGAAUAUUGCACAAUGGGCGCAAGCCUGAUGCAGCGACGCCGCGUGAGGGAUGACGGCCUUCGGGUUGUAAACCUCUUUCAGCACCGACGAAGCGCAAGUGACGGUAGGUGCAGAAGAAGGACCGGCCAACUACGUGCCAGCCGCCGCGGUAA